rnacentral:rRNA from 1 species
GCAAGCGUUAUCCGGAAUUAUUGGGCGUAAAGGGCUCGUAGGCGGUUCGUCGCGUCCGGUGUGAAAGUCCAUCGCUUAACGGUGGAUCCGCGCCGGGUACGGGCGGGCUUGAGUGCGGUAGGGGAGACUGGAAUUCCCGGUGUAACGGUGGAAUGUGUAGAUAUCGGGAAGAACACCAAUGGCGAAGGCAGGUCUCUGGGCCGUCACUGACGCUGAGGAGCGAAAGCGUGGGGAGCGAACAGGAUUAGAUACCCUGGUAGUCCACGCCGUAAACGGUGGAUGCUGGAUGUGGGGACCAUUCCACGGUCUCCGUGUCGGAGCCAACGCGUUAAGCAUCCCGCCUGGGGAGUACGGCCGCAAGGCUAAAACUCAAAGAAAUUGACGGGGGCCCGCACAAGCGGCGGAGCAUGCGGAUUAAUUCGAUGCAACGCGAAGAACCUUACCUGGGCUUGACAUGUUCCCGACGGUCGUAGAGAUACGGCUUCCCUUCGGGGCGGGUUCACAGGUGGUGCAUGGUCGUCGUCAGCUCGUGUCGUGAGAUGUUGGGUUAAGUCCCGCAACGAGCGCAACCCUCGCCCUGUGUUGCCAGCACGUCGUGGUGGGAACUCACGGGGGACCGCCGGGGUCAACUCGGAGGAAGGUGGGGAUGACGUCAGAUCAUCAUGCCCCUUACGUCCAGGGCUUCACGCAUGCUACAAUGGCCGGUACAACGGGAUGCGACAUCGCGAGGUGGAGCGGAUCCCUUAAAACCGGUCUCAGUUCGGAUUGGAGUCUGCAACCCGACUCCAUGAAGGCGGAGUCGCUAGUAAUCGCGGAUCAGCAACGCCGCGGUGAAUGCGUUCCCGGGCCUUGUACACACCGCCCG